AUUGAACGCUGGCGGCAGGCCUAACACAUGCAAGUCGAGCGGAGCGGCGGACGGGUGAGUAAUGCAUAGGAAUCUGCCUGGUAGUGGGGGGUAACGUACGGAAACGGGCGCUAAUACCGCAUACUAUCAGAUGAGACUAGGUCGGAUUAGCUAGUUGGUGGGGUAAAGGACUACCAAGGCGACGAUCCGUAACUGGUCUGAGAGGAUGAUCAGCCACACUGGAACUGAGACACGGUCCAGACUCCUACGGGAGGCAGCAGUGGGGAAUAUUGGACAAUGGGCGAAAGCCUGAUCCAGCCAUGCCGCGUGUGUGAAGAAGGUCUUCGGGUUGUAAAGCACUUUAAGUUGGGAGGCGUUACCAGCAGAAUAAGCACCGGCUAACUUCGUGCCAGCAGCCGCGGUAAUUC
rnacentral:rRNA from 1 species